AUGAACGCUAGCUACAGGCUUAACACAUGCAAGUCGAGGGGCAUCAGGAAGAAAGCUUGCUUUCUUUGCUGGCGACCGGCGCACGGGUGAGUAACACGUAUCCAACCUGCCCUUUACUCGGGGAUAGCCUUUCGAAAGAAAGAUUAAUACCCGAUGGCAUAAUGAUUCCGCAUGGUUUCAUUAUUAAAGGAUUCCGGUAAAGGAUGGGGAUGCGUUCCAUUAGGUUGUUGGUGAGGUAACGGCUCACCAAGCCUUCGAUGGAUAGGGGUUCUGAGAGGAAGGUCCCCCACAUUGGAACUGAGACACGGUCCAAACUCCUACGGGAGGCAGCAGUGAGGAAUAUUGGUCAAUGGGCGCUAGCCUGAACCAGCCAAGUAGCGUGAAGGAUGAAGGCUCUAUGGGUCGUAAACUUCUUUUAUAUAAGAAUAAAGUGCAGUAUGUAUACUGUUUUGUAUGUAUUAUAUGAAUAAGGAUCGGCUAACUCCGUGCCAGCAGCCGCGGUAGUACGGAGGAUCCGAGCGUUAUCCGGAUUUAUUGGGUUUAAAGGGAGCGUAGGUGGACUGGUAAGUCAGUUGUGAAAGUUUGCGGCUCAACCGUAAAAUUGCAGUUGAUACUGUCAGUCUUGAGUACAGUAGAGGUGGGCGGAAUUCGUGGUGUAGCGGUGAAAUGCUUAGAUAUCACGAAGAACUCCGAUUGCGAAGGCAGCUCACUGGACUGCAACUGACACUGAUGCUCGAAAGUGUGGGUAUCAAACAGGAUUAGAUACCCUGGUAGUCCACACAGUAAACGAUGAAUACUCGCUGUUUGCGAUAUACAGUAAGCGGCCAAGCGAAAGCAUUAAGUAUUCCACCUGGGGAGUACGCCGGCAACGGUGAAACUCAAAGGAAUUGACGGGGGCCCGCACAAGCGGAGGAACAUGUGGUUUAAUUCGAUGAUACGCGAGGAACCUUACCCGGGCUUAAAUUGCAGUGGAAUGAUGUGGAAACAUGUCAGUGAGCAAUCACCGCUGUGAAGGUGCUGCAUGGUUGUCGUCAGCUCGUGCCGUGAGGUGUCGGCUUAAGUGCCAUAACGAGCGCAACCCUUAUCUUUAGUUACUAACAGGUCAUGCUGAGGACUCUAGAGAGACUGCCGUCGUAAGAUGUGAGGAAGGUGGGGAUGACGUCAAAUCAGCACGGCCCUUACGUCCGGGGCUACACACGUGUUACAAUGGGGGGUACAGAAGGCAGCUAGCGGGUGACCGUAUGCUAAUCCCAAAAUCCUCUCUCAGUUCGGAUCGAAGUCUGCAACCCGACUUCGUGAAGCUGGAUUCGCUAGUAAUCGCGCAUCAGCCACGGCGCGGUGAAUACGUUCCCGGGCCUUGUACACACCGCCCGUCAAGCCAUGGGAGCCGGGGGUACCUGAAGUACGUAACCGCAAGGAUCGUCCUAGGGUAAAACUGGUGACUGGGGCU
rnacentral:rRNA from 1 species